UACGUAGGUGGCAAGCGUUUGUCCGGAAUUAUUGGGCGUAAAGCGCGCGCAGGCGGUCCUUUAAGUCUGAUGUGAAAGCCCACGGCUCAACCGUGGAAGGUCAUUGGAAACUGGGGGACUUGAGUGCAGAAGAGGAAAGUGGAAUUCCGAGUGUAGCGGUGAAAUGCGCAGAUAUCAGGAGGAACACCAGUGGCGAAGGCGCCACUCUGGGCCGUGACUGACGCUGAGGAGCGAAAGCGUGGGGAGCAAACAGG
rnacentral:rRNA from 1 species